CCUCCUGAUUGCCGCAACCUGCGCUGGCGUUUCUCGCGCAGCCUCUGCCCCGCUGGUUUUAAGCCAGCAGGUCCCACCCAACUGCCUGAUAAGAAUCAUCUGUGGGACUCGUUAAAAGUAUGAACAGAUGCAGAAAUGGAGACCGUGUGUCGCCUGAUCACAUAGCUAGAGGCUGAAGAGGAGGCUUUGAACCCAGGUUUUCUGAAUCCAAAUUUUGCAGCGUUUAACCCAAGCUAUGUUACUCCUGAGAUCUUGGGGGCAUCACACACCAGGUGCCCAGCAGGAUUGAAUGGGCUGCCUCAUCCAAGGAGCCCACGGAGGGUGGCUGGGCAGAACCAAAAAAGGAAGGAGACUCAGCUGAGACAUGGCCAACCCUACCACAUUUUUAAUCAGGGCUCUGAGUGCCCGGGGCCCUCCCCAGGACUUGGCUGUCAGGCCUGCUUCCAUUAUCUUCAGACUGCUCAGGUCCACGCAGGUUUGGCAGGCAGGAGGCACAGAACAGAGGGACCCAACUGAAUAAACCCUCAGGAAUAGAACUGCUUGCGGAAAAACCAAAGUAAUAUCUGAACCUAUUUCUGUGCUUCUAGACCUGCUUAAAAUGGAUGCUGCUAAUGGAGCCUGCCCUUACUAUUGGAAAGUGGGCCGUGCAACUGAUACCAGGCAGGAAUAUGCUUGCUUACUCCUUUACCCUUCACGAUAUUUAACAAUAGUAAUUAUGAUGAUGAUAGUGAAGACAAAAGCAGCUCACACAGAUUGAGUGCUUACUAUCACUUACUAUUGAGUGCCAGGCAGUUUUCAGAGCACUUGACAUAUGUGAAUGCAGGCAGUUCUGGUUUUAAUCUGGACUUUCCUUAUGAAUUUGCUCUGUGUCCUUGAGGAAGUUACCCACCUUCUCCAAACAAAGAGAUAAUUACAUAGGUUUGGGGAGAGAAUUAAAUAUGAUAAAGUGUGAGGUAUAUAGUAAGUUGCUCCGUGAUGGUGACUAAUAUUAUUUUUAUUAAUAAUGUGAACUCUCCUGUUUAUUUUCUUUUUUAUACCUGUUUCCAAAGGUCUUGCCUUUCUACGACCUGUUCUUCUGAAACUGGGAAUAUAGAGAUCCACGUUCUCUUUCUGGACGAACUCCUAUUUAACUCUCAAGACCCAUUUCAAAAGUUUUCUACACUGGUAAACCUUUGCAAAACCAGUUUCCACAGUGCAAAACAAAUUGCUCUCUCUGCCAUGCCUCCAUCCUGGCCCUCCUUACAUCAUAUGGUAAUUGGGCCUGUUUAUAGUCUAUCUUCUUGGACAGCUUGGAACUUUCCAGAGAUGCAAUAUCUACUGCACUCUCCUAGUUUAGCAGUUCUCCAGGUGUAGUAUACAGACUCCUGGGCAUCUGCAAAACACUUUCAGGGGGUCCUUGAGGUCAAAACUGUUUUCAUAACUCUCAGAUAUUAUUUGCAUUUUUCAUUCUAUUGACAUUUGUAGCAGUGGUAGGUAAAACUGCUGGCAUUGCUUUGAAUCAAGGAUAUGGCAUCAAAAUGUAUAAGGAAUCGUUGUAUUCAUUACCAUCACACAGUUGCAUUAAAGCACAUGCCAAUUUCUUCACUUAAGACUGUCCUUAAAAAAAAAAAAAAAAAAAAAGACUGUCCUUAAUGAGGCAGUAAAAUGAUUAACUUUAUGAAAUGUCGACCCUUGUCUUUUUAAUAAUCUGUAUAAAGAAAAGUGGGAAGUACAUUUAAAGCACAUCAGCUGCGUACAAAAGCACCAUGGUUCAAGGUAAUGUUGAGAAAAAGCAUGUGUGUGACGGAAUUGUGAGCAGAAUUAGUCAUUGCUUUUUCAUGACAGGUGCUUUUUACUUGAAAGAACACAUAACAAACACUGGUUAUUCUGAUUUGGGUAUUUGGCAGAUACUCUCUCAAAAAUUAGUUAAGUGAGUCUUUCAUUUUAAGGAAAGCAACUGGCGGUAUCUGUUACCAAUGAGAAGGUUCAAGCUAAGUGAAAAUCAGAAGUUUGGAAAAACUUUAUCUGCCAUUCUGAACUUGACAUCUUCUCAUUGAAUGUCCUGGAAGAGAAUUGCAGUGAUAACUGGAGAAUUGGAAUUUUUGAUACUAUAUAAUGAAAUGUGCACAUGUUUGGAAGAUCUGUAUGAGUCAGUGAAGCAGUUGUUUCAAAUAAACAAUCAACAUAUUUUAAAAUCACACAUGGGUAAAAGACCUAUCGAGAGUGCAAGACGGGCACCUGGGUCGCACAGUCAUUUGAAUGUCCAACUCUUGAUGUUGGCUCAGGUUGUGGUCUCCGGGUCAUGAGAUCCGGCCCCGGGUCAGGCUCCGUGCUCAGCACAGAAUCUGCUUAAGACUCUCUCUCCCUCUCCUUCUGCUCCCUGCCCCCCAUGCAUGCAUGUGUGCACUCUUUCUCUCUCUCAAAUAAAUAAAUCUUUAAAAAAAAAAGUACAAGACAGACCAGUGGAUUUUAAUGUUGCAGAGUAGAAAAGUUCAGCUACACGGUUUCAGAUUUUACCUCACAACAACCCUUAACCAAAACUUGUCAAGUGCAGGGGCACCAGGAUGGCUCAGUGGCUGAGCAUCUGCCUUUGACUCAGGUUGUGACCCCGGGGUCCUGGGAUCGAGUCCCACAUCGGGCUCCCUGCAUGGAGCCUGCUUCUCCCUCUGCCUGUGUCUCUGCCUCUCUCUCUGUCUCUCAUGAAUGAAUAAAUAGGGUCUUUGAAAAACAACAACAAAACUUGUCAAGUGUGACUGUAGUACCAAAGAAUAUCCAUCAUUAUCUGAAAAGGCUAUUAAAAUACUGCUCCCUUUUCCAACUAUGUAUCUGUGUGAUGCUAGGUUUUCUCUCUGCAUUUUAACCAGGACAAGCUAUGGUACCAGACUGAGUACAGAAGUAGAUCUGAGAAUCCAGCUGUCUUUCAUUAAGCUGGACCUUAAAGAGAUUUGAAGAUAUGUAAAACAGUGUCACUCUUCUCACUAAACAUCUUCGUUCUGUAAAAUAGUUUUUGUAAAAUAUGAAAA